AGAGUUUGAUCCUGGCUCAGGAUGAACGCUGGCGGCGUGCUUAACACAUGCAAGUCGAACGGUGAAGCAGAGCUUGCUCUGUGGAUCAGUGGCGAACGGGUGAGUAACACGUGAGCAAUCUGCCCCUGACUCUGGGAUAAGCGCUGGAAACGGCGUCUAAUACCGGAUACGAGCUGCGACCGCAUGGUCAGUAGCUGGAAAGAAUUUCGGUCAGGGAUGAGCUCGCGGCCUAUCAGCUUGUUGGUGAGGUAAUGGCUCACCAAGGCGUCGACGGGUAGCCGGCCUGAGAGGGUGACCGGCCACACUGGGACUGAGACACGGCCCAGACUCCUACGGGAGGCAGCAGUGGGGAAUAUUGCACAAUGGGCGCAAGCCUGAUGCAGCAACGCCGCGUGAGGGAUGACGGCCUUCGGGUUGUAAACCUCUUUUAGCAGGGAAGAAGCGAAAGUGACGGUACCUGCAGAAAAAGCGCCGGCUAACUACGUGCCAGCAGCCGCGGUAAUACGUAGGGCGCAAGCGUUAUCCGGAAUUAUUGGGCGUAAAGCGCUCGUAGGCGGUCUGUCGCGUCUGCUGUGAAAACCCGAGGCUCAACCUCGGGCCUGCAGUGGGUACGGGCAGACUAGAGUGCGGUAGGGGAGAUUGGAAUUCCUGGUGUAGCGGUGGAAUGCGCAGAUAUCAGGAGGAACACCGAUGGCGAAGGCAGAUCUCUGGGCCGUAACUGACGCUGAGGAGCGAAAGGGUGGGGAGCAAACAGGCUUAGAUACCCUGGUAGUCCACCCCGUAAACGUUGGGAACUAGUUGUGGGGUCCAUUCCACGGAUUCCGUGACGCAGCUAACGCAUUAAGUUCCCCGCCUGGGGAGUACGGCCGCAAGGCUAAAACUCAAAGGAAUUGACGGG
rnacentral:rRNA from 1 species